GACGAACGCUGGCGGCGUGCUUAACACAUGCAAGUCGAACGGAAAGGCCCUGCUUUUGUGGGGUGCUCGAGUGGCGAACGGGUGAGUAACACGUGAGUAACCUGCCCUUGACUUUGGGAUAACUUCAGGAAACUGGGGCUAAUACCGGAUAGGAGCUCCUGCUGCAUGGUGGGGGUUGGAAAGUUUCGGCGGUUGGGGAUGGACUCGCGGCUUAUCAGCUUGUUGGUGGGGUAGUGGCGUACCAAGGCUUUGACGGGUAGCCGGCCUGAGAGGGUGACCGGCCACAAUGGGACUGAGAUACGGCCCAGACUCCUACGGGAGGCAGCAGUGGGGAAUAUUGCACAAUGGGCGGAAGCCUGAUGCAGCAACGCCGCGUGCGGGAUGACGGCCUUCGGGUUGUAAACCGCUUUCGCCUGUGACGAAGCGUGAGUGACGGUAAUGGGUAAAGAAGCACCGGCUAACUACGUG
rnacentral:rRNA from 1 species